UCCGUAGGCGGUGCGGCAAGUCGGGGGUGAAAUCUCUGGGCUUAACUCAGAGGCUGCCUCCGAAACUGCCGUGCUCGAGUGUGGGAGAGGCGAGCGGAAUUGCAGGUGUAGCGGUGAAAUGCGUAGAUAUCUGCAGGAACACCCGUGGCGAAGGCGGCUCGCUGGACCAUUACUGACGCUGAGGGACGAAAGCUAGGGGAGCAAACAGGAUUAGAUACCCUGGUAGUCCUAGCCCUAAACGAUCAGGACUUGGGGUGUCUCCCGUCCGGGAGACGUCCCGGAGCUAACGCGUUAAGUCCUGCGCCUGGGGAGUACGGUCGCAAGACUGAA
rnacentral:rRNA from 1 species